rnacentral:rRNA from 1 species
AUGUGAAAGCCCCGGGCUCAACCUGGGAAUUGCAUUUAAAACUGGUUAACUAGAGUACUGUAGAGGGAGGUAGAAUUCCACGUGUAGCGGUGAAAUGCGUAGAGAUGUGGAGGAAUACCGGUGGCGAAGGCGGCCUUCUGGACAGAUACUGACGCUGAGAUGCGAAAGCGUGGGGAGCAAACAGGAUUAGAUACCCUGGUAGUCCACGCUGUAAACGAUGUCGAUUUGGAGUUUGCUACCUAGAGUGGUGGGCUCCGAAGCUAACGCGAUAAAUCGACCGCCUGGGGAGUACGGCCGCAAGGUUAAAACUCAAAUGAAUUGACGGGGGCCCGCACAAGCGGUGGAGCAUGUGGUUUAAUUCGAUGCAACGCGAAGAACCUUACCUGGUCUUGACAUCCAUAGAAUCUUUUAGAGAUAAGAGAGUGCCUUCGGGAGCUAUGAGACAGGUGCUGCAUGGCUGUCGUCAGCUCGUGUUGUGAAAUGUUGGGUUAAGUCCCGCAACGAGCGCAACCCUUAUCCUUUGUUGCCAGCACGUAAUGGUGGGAACUCAAAGGAGACUGCCGUUGAUAAAGCGGAGGAAGGUGGGGACGACGUCAAGUCAUCAUGGCCCUUACGACCAGGGCUACACACGUGCUACAAUGGCGUAUACAAAGGGAAGCGAAGGUGCGAACUGGAGCGGACCUCCUAAAGUACGUCUAAGUCCGGAUUGGAGUCUGCAACUCGACUCCAUGAAGUCGGAAUCGCUAGUAAUCGUAGAUCAGAAUGCUACGGUGAAUACGUUCCCGGGCCUUGUACACACCGCCCGUCACACCAUGGGAGUGGGUU